AGCCUGGUUUAGUGGUUUGAGCACUGGACUAGGACACUGAGAGGCCAGGGUUCGAAUCCCAGCUUGGCUA